GACGAACGCUGGCGGCGUGCUUAACACAUGCAACUCGAACGGAAAGGCCCUGCUUUUGUGGGGUGCUCGAGUGGCGAACGGGUGAGUAACACGUGAGUAACCUGCCCUUGACUUUGGGAUAACUUCAGGAAACUGGGGCUAAUACCGGAUAGGAGCUCCUGCUGCAUGGUGGGGGUUGGAAAGUUUCGGCGGUUGGGGAUGGACUCGCGGCUUAUCAGCUUGUUGGUGGGGUAGUGGCUUACCAAGGCUUUGACGGGUAGCCGGCCUGAGAGGGUGACCGGCCACAUUGGGACUGAGAUACAGCCCAGACUCCUACGGGAGGCAGCAGUGGAGAAUAUUGCACAAUGGGCGGAAGCCUGAUGCAGCAACGCCGCGUGCGGGAUGACGGCCUUCGGGUUGUAAACCGCUUUCGCCUGUGACGAAGCGUGAGUGACGGUAAUGGGUAAAGAAGCACCGGCUAACUACGUG
rnacentral:rRNA from 1 species